rnacentral:ncRNA from 21 species
AGCAGAGUAGGAUAGGAAGCGUUAAGUAUCUUCUGAACGGGGAGUUGUCAGAAGGGCGAAAAGAUUUUCUUGCGAUUUCUUAUCCGCAUCCCGCUGUU